rnacentral:rRNA from 1 species
AUGGCAAGGCCCGGCGCGGACAUGCCCGGCCAGCCGCCACGAGAGGAGAGCCGGCGCGAGCAGCAUGGCAGAGGCACGAAUCGGAGGGGGAACCACCGGUCUUGGGCGCCGCCGGAGCCAGCUCGCAGUGCAGCAUGGGUGGUGGUCGAUGUCGACAGUGGAGAGGGACGAGAUCUAGCCGGGGGAGCAUGCCGGAGCCGAGGCAGCCAAGCGGGAUGGCGUCAGGUCCGAAUCCGGCCACGGACAGCGCCCCCGAGCAGGAGGAGGGGCGGAUCCGGAGGCUGGCAUGCCAGAUCCGGCACGGGAGAGGGUGGGAGAGACCGGCUCCGGGCGCCCGCCAUGGCCAUGUCGACGAGUUUCGAUUUGGAUUUGAAGGAGCGGGUGGGGGUGGUCUGGACGGGAGGAACCUCGCCGCCGCCGUCCGCCGCUAGGCCUCGCCCGGCGGCCUCCUCCGGCGACGGCGAGGAGAGGGAGUGGCGGAGAAGGGCGGAGGGUAGGUGGCGGCGGCGGCCUCCGGAGUCGCCCGAGGAGAGCGACCCGGGAGGUUCUCCUGUGUUGAUGUGUGAGGAGUUGUCUUUUUUCCCGUUCAUACAUAUUGAUUGUAAUUCCUUCCUCAUAUUGUAA